UACGAAGGGAGCUAGCGUUGUUCGGAAUUACUGGGCGUAAAGGGUGCGUAGGUGGUUCUAUAAGUGAGGUGUGAAAGCCCCGGGCUCAACCUGGGAAAUGCAUUUCAUACUGUAGGACUUGGUGUGCGAGAGGGGAAAGUGGAAUGGCGAGUGGAGCAGUGAAAUGCGUUGAUAUUCGUUGGAACACCAGAGGCGAAGGCGGCUUUCUGGCUCGUAACAGACACUAAAGCACGAAAGCGUGGGGAGCAAACAGG
rnacentral:rRNA from 1 species